GUGAUCGCUUUGGCAGCACAGAGACUAAAACUGCAGCAGCACAGGGAGGAUGAGCAUGGGCCCUGCACAAGCAUGACAUGGAAAUUCGUGAAGCAUUCCAAUAAAAA
ensembl:snRNA U6 U6 spliceosomal RNA